rnacentral:rRNA from 1 species
CCUAAAUGCAGUCGAACGAAGCCCUCGGGCUUAGUGGCGGACGGGUGAGUAACGCGUGAGAAUCUCCCUUCAGGAUGGGGACAACCGUUGGAAACGACGGCUAAUCCCCAAUGUGCCGAAAGGUGAAAAGGGUUUCCGCCUGAAGAAGAGCUCGCGUCCGAUUAGUUAGUUGGUGAGGUAAGAGCUUACCAAGGCAGCGAUCGGUAGCUGGUCUGAGAGGAUGAGCAGCCACACUGGGACUGAGACACGGCCCAGACUCCUACGGGAGGCAGCAGUGGGGAAUUUUCCGCAAUGGGCGAAAGCCUGACGGAGCAACGCCGCGUGUGGGAAGAAGGCUCUUGGGCUGUCAACCACUUUUCUCAGGGAAGAAGACCUGACGGUACCUGAGGAAUCAGCCUCGGCUAACUCCGUGCCAGCAGCCGCGGUAAUACGGAGGAGGCAAGCGUUAUCCGGAAUUAUUGGGCGUAAAGCGUCCGCAGGGGGCGCAUCAAGUCUGCUGUUAAAGGUCGGAGCUUAACUCCGGUAGAGCAGUGGAAACUGGUGCGCUAGAGGGCGACAGGGGUAGAGGGAAUUCCCAGUGUAGCGGUGAAAUGCGUAGAGAUUGGGAAGAACACCGGUGGCGAAAGCGCUCUACUGGGUCGCACCUGACCCUCAGGGACGAAAGCUAAGGUAGCGAAAGGGAUUAGAUACCCCUGUAGUCUUAGCCGUAAACGAUGGAUACUAGGCGUGGCUUGUAUCGACCCAAGCCGUGCCGAAGCUAACGCGUUAAGUAUCCCGCCUGGG